AUCCAGCUGACGAGUCCGAAAUAGGACAAAACUCGUGUUCUGGAU
rnacentral:hammerhead_ribozyme from 1 species